rnacentral:lncRNA from 1 species
UUUGUUUAACACAUAAUCAAGAAAUAACCAUAAGUAUCAACAGUGGAACAGCCCAUGCUGCUGCUCUGCCUAUGGAGUAGCCAUUCUUUAUUCCCUUACUUUCUUAAUAAACUCGCUUUCACUUUAUGGAUUCAACUGUAAUUCUUUCUUGUGUGAGAUCCAAGAACCUUCUUGUAGGGUCUGGAUUGGGACCCUUUUCUGGUAACAUCUUCCUGGUGACCAUGAAGGGACAAUACUGAAGAGACCCCUGACCCUAAGGAAAUAGACUGCAGCACCAAUGGGCCAACUUUGGGUUUAUUUCUGCAAUUGAGACUAACUCUGCCUAUUCCUGUGAACCAACCAGUGAUCUCUGGCUGCUGCUCAGAAGAAACAAGAGGGAGGGAUGAAUAAUGUAAAACUCUGGAUCAAUAUUCUAAUUCUGAGCCUCUAUUGGAAUCAGCUAGCAACCACAUAUCAGCUUGGUUUCAACAGUUUCCCAGUUCAUGCUGCUGAGAAGUUCAGAGUCAAACCUGAAUCUCACCUCUGCAAAGAGCACAGGACUCCAUGGCAAACGUUGUAUAUACGCAAGUCAUCCCUGGCACCACAUUGAUUUACUGCACCAGGCUUUCUUCAUUGUGAUGAUGUUCUCUCUCUUUUCUAAAAAAAAAAUAAAAAUAAAAUUUAAAAAAUCC